rnacentral:lncRNA from 1 species
CGCCUGCGUCAGGUUACUCGUGAAAACUCGAAUAAGUGCUAUCGAUGUGAAAUCCGAGGAAAAGAGCAUUUGGGGGAAAAGGUCUUACUAUGUUUCCCAGGCUGGACUCUAACUCCUGGGCUCAAGUGGUCCUCCCACCUCAGCCUCCUGAGUAGCUGGGACUGUAGAUGCAUGCCGCCAUGACCUGCCAAAAUCAUAUUUUUGAAGAAUCUUCCCUGUUUAGUGGAAAUUGGAUGCCUGGAAACAAAAUUUUCAGAAUCCUGGCCAGCAGAAUUCUGGGUUAGAUUCUAUCAAUGAGAGGCAUCUGUAUGUUAUUUGAAAGACUAAAGACUGCUUCAGCAGCGGUGGAUGGAUUCAUGAGGAGCAAACUGAGAG